rnacentral:rRNA from 1 species
AUGGAGCUCUUCAAGGACGCGCGGUCCGUGCGGCUGAGGAGCCACCUGGGCACGUACCUCUGCGCGCUCGACGGCGUGGCCGUCUCCCACGGCCACCGCCGCAACUCCCGCGGCACGGUCUGGGCCGUGGAGCUCGCCGGCGACGACUACGUCCGCCUCCAGGGCCACCGGGGCCUCUACCUCGGCGCCACCGAGCUCCCCGCCGACGUCCUCGGCCGCGGCCGCGGCACCCGGGCCUGCUGCGGGGUCGUCCAGGGCUCGCCGUCCUGCCCCAACGACAACGCCUUCCUCUGGUCGCCGCUGCGCGAGGGCGAGCACCUCGCGCUGUCCGGGCCCUACGGCCGCCUCCUCCGCGCCAGGUUCGGGCGGACGCCGCAGGACAACUCCGUCACCGUCGACCUGGACGCCGACCCGGAGGAGAGCUCCUGGGUCGUCGAGGUCGUCCCGGCCGCGGAGGCGGCGCUGCUGCUGCUGCCGUCGCCGCCGCGGCCCUGCCGCGCCCACUCGUGCGACGCCCGCUUGGAGGCGGCCACAUCGGAGUCGGACACGGCGUCCAGCGUCCUCGCCAGGGAGGAGCCCCUGUCGACGCCGGCGCCGCGGCUGAUCUUCUACAACACCGCCAGGGACGACGGCGGCGUGGACGAGUUCGACGAGGGGACGUGGAAGUACUUCUCGUUCAAGGAGCAGAGCCUGGCGGCGCUGCACCGCAGGCUGGAGGAGGAGACCCGGCGCCAGGACUUCGUCGUCUGCCGCAGGAGCGGCCCGGGGCUGUUCCCCGUCGUCCUGGACCUCCCUCCCGGCAACAGCCAGAUGGAGUUCGUCCUCGUCCCGGCGUCCCCUCCUGCAGGUAAACAAUGGGGUCUCUCUGCUUCUUUUGUUCUCUGUUUCCUGCUCUGGUUCAGCUUCUGA